UGAGAAGAGGAAGCGCUUUGAGGGGCCUGUUCUGGCCAAUGAUAAGGAGCUUCCCUGUGCUAAGAAGAGGAGGCUGAUACCAUCGGAGGCGAGAAAGGAGAAAGGAGUCUCUUCUGGAAUAGGAGAGAAGGGGAAGCGGUUCUCUGGACCAUUCCUAUCCAGGGAUAAAGAGACUCCCUGUGCUAAGAAGAGGAGGCUGGAAACACUGGAGGAGGGACAGCAGACACCGGCCAAAGCAGUCUCUUCCGGAAUAGGACAAAAGAGGAAGAGGUACUCUGGUCCUGUCCUAUCAAAGGAUACAGAGUCUCCCUAUAAGACCAGCGGAAGCCAGAACACCUUGCCUUGGGGAGAAACACCUUUACCACCUGCCUGCCCUCUCAUCCAUC